rnacentral:rRNA from 1 species
UACGUAGGGGGCAAGCGUUGUCCGGAUUUAUUGGGCGUAAAGAGCGUGUAGGCGGCCCGGUAAGUCCGCUGUGAAAGUCCAGGGCUCAACCCUGGGAUGCCGGUGGAUACUGUCGGGCUCGAGUCCGGAAGAGGAGUGUGGAAUUCCUGGUGUAGCGGUGAAAUGCUUAGAUAUCAAGUGGAACACCAGUGGCGAAGGCGAGUCUCUGGACAUUUCCUGACGCUGAGGCACGAAAGCCAGGGGAGCAAACGGG